GGCGAUAUAACAAGUCGUCAAAGAGAACAAGAUAUAAAUUAUUGUAAUAUAUCAAAUGAUAGACGAGGCGUCGAGGCACAUGAACCGGUUAUCAAAAUUGUACGUGCCAGUUCUAGUAUGCGCUGAAUUAUGGAUUUUGACUUUUACUUAAGUACAAUCGUCAAUAAUGAUAAACUGCCAUUAAACAUGUAUAUAUAGUGAUUACAGUUACCUAGUUAUUAUUAUUAUUUACCGAUUCCUUAAUCGAUUGCCAUUAAUUUGAACGGUAAUACGUACAAUUAACAUUAUUAACACUGGCUUAAAACCCUGCAGUCGCGCUACCUAUUUAUCAGGAUGACCACUGCAGAACCUGAGAAAUAUGUGUGUGGCGUGACGACGGUAACGUCUGUGGUGUGACCAUUAAAAUUAAUAAUACGGACGAUCCUAUUAGCAGUUGAGAUGCGGAAGACAAUACUUUUAAAUCGUUUUCCAAGAGUAGCGGUUUGAUGGCACGCCAUUGGACGUACAAGAAUGAGCAAUCGUACAUUAUUCGUAACUUUGCUAUGGAUGCAACCAGCAGUUCACUAAUAACAGCCGUCUAACAGCACGCCGAAGGACGAGCGACCGUAUAUCUGUGUGCGAUAAGUGUUUGAUAAUUCCUGUGUUUAUUAUAAGAGCGAUUUAUUAAGGACAACUCGCACUGGCAAGAAACCAUACCCGUUCAAAUUGCAGCGAGAAAAUAGUGAACGAGUUCAACACGAUAUAUAUUCGUCAUUCGCCGCUAUCGGCAAUAUAUUAGUGACGGACAACGUGUAAACAUUUGAAUAAGAUCUUCUGGCAUCUUUCUUGUGUGCUACACAAAUGAACUGAAACUGAACGGAAAAGGCAGGCACCAUCACCGAUAAUUGGUACAACUAUUUGAGGUGUCAAUAUUCCAUUGACAAAAAUGUCUUCAAUCGAUGACAUUAAAAAAAAAAAAAUAUUCUAGUAGCCAUGGCGUGAUUAUUAUUAUUUUUACUGAUUUCAACCCUUUAAAAUCAAAAUUUUGAAAAAUCUUUACAUAGUGAACGGUGAAAUUAUAAUAUUAAUCUAUCCUCAAAAUUUCAAUUCGAUAACUUAAAUAGGGUCGGUUCUGCGUUGAUUAUUAUAAAGUACACUUUCCUCUUUAUACCUAGAGAUAAGUGCAUAUUUGACUAGUUUUGAUAUAAAAGCGUAAGUUCUAAAAAUAUUUUAAUUUUAAAUAGAUUCCAUGGACUUUAGAUAUUAGUUUUAUGGUUUUAUUUUGUUUAUAUAUCACAGAGUGUAUUAAAAGUAUAAAUAAUUAAUGUUCCUUGCUGGUCAACUGCAUUAUUGUUACUUCAAGUUUUUUUUUAAUUUAAUUUUUUACUUUUUAUUAGCCAUGUCCUACAUAAUAUAAAGCAUUUACAUUUUUUUUGUAAAUAAAUAUUUGAAUAAAAUAUUUUCCAUAUUUUUUGCUGCCAUUUUUAGCGUAUAUAUUAUAUUGCAAUCAUUUUAAGGUCGUGUAGUCCCCCGAGCCCUAAACAUUUUUACAUUCGAUGGAUAUUUUUCGACUAAAUUACAUUUUGAGCUAACGGUGUUUCGGUCAAUGGGAAUUCGAUGACAGCAUUAAGAUUGAAAAGAAUCUGUCGGUAACGAUGACUAAUUUUUUAUGUAAUGCACACAAGUUUUAAUUGAAAGAGUCGUGUGAGCGUAAUUCUAGUGUAAAAACUCAUUAUGUGCGAUAACCU